UGUGUGUGUGUGUGUGUGUACAUGUACAUGUGUGUGAUAUCACUAUGAGUUGAAAUAAACCUAAAUACGAUGUACACACACACACACACAAA
rnacentral:miRNA from 1 species